AUUGCUUCUUGGCCUUCUGGCUAAGAUCAUGUGCAGCAUCUGUUCUUACCAGUUUAAUAUCUGAUAUAUUCUCUAUCUGAGGAUAAUAUAAUAAAUAGAUUUUUGGAGCAAGGAGAUGGAAUAGGAGCUUGGUCUGUCCACUCUACACAUUGACCUGGAUUGCAGUACCUCCAGGAAUGGUGCACCCUCU
ensembl:snRNA U2 U2 spliceosomal RNA